AGAGCUUUUAACAUAAACAAGCCUGCAGCCUCCCCGAUUGUUCCUGCUGGCCACUCUGACUGUCUUGCCAGCUCACUGGUGUGCAUUCCCUGAUAGCAGAUCCCUGGCCUAUGAAGUAAUGUUGCCCUGAAGAUACAGGAUGCAAGGACAGGUCUGAAGGAAAUUCAGUCUUUCCAGCUGGACCUCUCUACUUGGUUUGCGCCUUAAGGCAGAGGACAGUCCAUUAUUUUAAACUGUGGAAAGCCAAUGUCAAAUAGCACAUAAAAAGAACAGGAGGAAAAUAUAUCUUAAAGAUAGAGAUCUGAAGUAUGAAGACUGACCCCUCAUCAGAAAAAGCCAGAAGACAAUGGAACAACAUCUUUAAACUUAUUAAAGAAAAAUAUAAACCUGUCAACCUGGGAAAGUACUGAUCUGCCGCAGAAAUGUGCACUUAAAAGGGAUGGUCUGAGUUUAUUUGCUGAAUGGAGAUACUUCGAACUCAGGUCUGGCCAAUAAAGAAUUUGACUAUAAUUGCAAGUGGUUGAGAUUAUCCAUUUGUUCUUCAGUUAACACUUGAUGCUGAUCCUUCACCCCAGCCAGUCCCCCCAUUCCCACCCAAAGCAGAGACUGAUGCACAAGAAGAGAAAUGACAAACAUAGGAACCUGACACUGCUGUUGGGAAAAUGGAUAUAAGUUCUACUUUUCUUGAAGGUUAUUAAAAUCAAGAUUGACAUAAACAAAGUCAGUGUGUUUGAAAGAAGAAAAAGAAAAAAGAGUAAUGGUAAAUUUGAGCUUAGAUCAAGAACUGUCAUUCUGGCUUCUAGCAGAAAACUUUCCCAAACAUGAAAGAGAAGAGGCAAAAGCAAGGAAGAGAAUGUUGUGUGUCUGUGAACAGACAUUCAAAGGUAAGUUUUCAGGGAAUAGGGAAAGUUCUGGCAAGUUUAAGCAGCAUACUUUCACUGUAUCUUGAAGGGCAUGGACUGCAGUACAUGUAUUAAUGUUGCAGGUCAGGUUCCCCAGGAAGUUGCCCAGGAAAUGGAGCUUAGUCCACAAAUAGUUUUGGGGGGAGUUGCUGUCAGGAUUAGCUUCUGUGCAGGAUUGUAAGGAAGCAUAGUAGGGCCAAGGGAGAAACUGAGCUGUGGUGCAGCAACAACACCUAGGGCAGGCCCAAGGGGAGCCCUAAGGUCAGAAUGGCCUUUCGAUACACCUUAAAUACACCUCAAAAAGGGACCAGUGAUACUAUGCAAUGUGGCUCUCUUUAGGGGACAGCAACUUCCAGAGAGGACUGGCAGCUGAGAGUUCUCAGCCAGCAACACAUUCAGCAGUUAAGGGGAUUAGUCCUUCCUUGUUGGAAGAGGAAUCCAGGCAGGGUAGUACAGCAUCCAUUAUUGUCCAUUUGUACAAGUCUUUGCUCCUCUUGCUUUACCUAAGCCCCAAAAGUCAUUCCUCCAGGACUAUGGUGAUUGUUUUUCCUAGGGUAGACUUACUAGAGGAAAAUUAAAAGAAAAAACUGUAGUUCUCACUGGUGCAUGUGGGAUUGAAGCUACAGUUAUGAUAAGUUAUUGUCUCCUUAUUCCACAAUCUAUCCUAGAUUCUUCUUCCACAGCUAGUAUCUCUGCUGGUCUUAGUGGCUUAGCUGGUGGAGCAACUCAAAGUCAUAUCUGAUUGCCUAAACCCUGGGUCAUUAAGCCCUUUUGAAAUUGUGGCUACUACUCUAUUUGUCCAUUUACCAUCCAAAUUAGGCAAAGAAGUACUACGAGAUAACCAUACACCAUAUUCUUCCCUGUCCGCAAUAUGUCAUAAAGCCUUCCUCCUGAUGAUCAGAUCAAUCGCCUCUAUCAAUAUGGUAUCCUCCCCUUGCCACUGGCUCCUUAGCAUAAGGAGUAUGAAGUACAUGGCAUAAAUCACACUUUGAAUUUCCAUGGUGGAUGUUUUCCAUCUUAGGAACAAAAACCACAAAACACACAUAGGUCAGAAUUUUCAGAAAAAGAAAGCAGAAAUUCCUUAUAGGUCAUUCCCAUUUUCACCGUUUGGUUCCUGGCACCAUGUAUUCUAACUAAUGGGGCACAACACUCUAGAGUAGUCAUUAAUUUGAGGAUAUACUGUGUUGUGGAAGAUGACUCCCUAUCUUAAUAUGGUUUUAUUUUUGAAGCACCUGUCUUAUCUGUGCCAUCUAUAAGCUAUUCCAUUGCUCUUCAAUGCUAGCUGCUUUCAGAUGCUGUGUUAUGUGACAAGACCUGUGGAUCUUCUGAUUGUAAGCCCACUGUUGCACUCCGUUGCCAUAAGUGAGUCUCUUUAGUCCAGAGUUUUUCCUACACAUUAUGGGAUGUUUAGCAGCAACUCUGGCCUCUAGCCACUAGAUGUCAGUAGCACCACCCAAACGUGCCAACCAACUGUGGCUCCUGAUGUUCCCAAAUGUCCCCUGGGAGGGCGGGGAAUUACUCCUGGUUAAAAACUACUACCUUAGUCUGUUGAAUGCUAUUGGGAAUUCAUGUGGAUGGAUGAAACUUUCUGUAACCCCAUAAAUAAUGAUGCUGUCUGAGACUCUUCCAACAGGAAAGGCAAAUCCAUACGUAGAAUAUGUGUAGAUUCAAAAAGUGUCAAUCCAAAAUGAAUGGAGGGUUCUUGUAGGAUGGAAUAAGUACAACAUAUUCAAUUUGCCACUGGGUGGUUGCUUGGCACCUGGAAGGGAUGGUGCUAUAUUUGGGGGUUAGCACUGGUUUCUCUUGCCAAGUCUCCACUCUUGACACCACAGUUAACUGUGUUUCUUUGUAUCUGAUGUUCAACACUGGGGGCUCUGAUGACAGAGAGAGUUGGCUGACAUGGACUGGCUGACAUUUUGUCUACUCUGAUUAUUUGUUUGUUUAAUGCCUAUUCCAGGGUAGAUGUUCUCUAGUGGACACAAACAUACAAUACAAAGAUCUUCACACUGUAUGCCCACUCCCAUUAGUCCAUCCACAAAACAUGACUGCAGACCUUCCUCUCCAUGAUCUUCCCAUCUUUUUCCUUCCAAGCUAUAUGUCACCUAUAUAUUUAUAUAAUUUUAAUCCUGGGCUAUUUUAUUUCCAUCAAAAGAGGAAUAUCGAUUGUACCACUUGGAGCUCUGCCUAUUGCAAAGAUUUUCCCCAGCCAAUGUCUUCCAAGGUCACCAUGGAGAGGGGCUGCAGUGAAGUCCCAAUCCAUUUUUAGCUGGACACUCUUACUGAGCUGUCAGUUCAUAAAUCAGCUUUGUUCUUUUCCUACUUUUUCAGCUGUUGUAAGGCAUCCUAUGCAGAAUAGAUAAAUGCUGGUUAAGAAGUCUUGCUUUAUACAACUGUGGUGGAGGAAAUGUAAGUCAAAGCCUCCAGACUCUACUGCUUGCCUGGGCCUUCUGGUGCUUCCUGUGUGUAAUCCUUAUAGAUCAUUUCAAUCUUAAGACCUGAUAGGUCUGAUGAAGUCUAUUUUGACCUCUUUGACUCUUAUUUUUUAAUCUCUAAAAUGAGAGGUUUAAUGAAAUAACAUCUUUAUAACAUCUUUUCCAAUUCUAGAAUUCAAUGAGAGGAAGCAUAAUUUUGUAUUUUGCAGGAUGAUAAACAUUGACAACUAUUGUACCUUUGCUUUAUGACCAUGGGUCCCUUACAUGAUUUUAUCUAGGAAUACCUCAAAUGCCCCAUUUUCACCAUCCUGACCAGUUAAAUCAUUAUUAUGAGAAAACCAGUGUUUCCGAAGCCAAUGAAAAUCCUGUGCCCAGAGCAGCAACAUUACUGUUCACUACUCAGUUUUCUGCUUCAACUUGCACAAUCAUUUACAUACCCAAUUUAUAGUAAAUGUUAUGUUGAGAAUUAUAGACUCUAUGAUAUCUCUGGGAGAAACCUUAAAGAGUACUACCUGAGUCUUCUGGCCACAUGUAACCUAAUCUGUCAGAGGGAAAACCCAGUUUCAUUGGCCCCACUUGGGACCUCUGUAGUCUCUAAUACUUUGAGUGCACUUAGGUCUGCAAAGAAAGGAGAUUCAAGAACGAAUUCGCUAAGCAAUCAGUGAGAGCUAUUGGCUACGUCAGAAAAAUACCUUGAGAUGGGGACUGUGAGGUAUGAGGAUUUAUUUAUUUGCAAUGGGAAAAUGAUUUUAAAAUUAAUUAAAUACACUUUGAGAAAACUAAGCAGAUUGUAUUAGUCAAGGUUCUUCAGAGAAACAGAACCAAUAGGAUGUGUGUGUGUGUGUGCGCGCGUGUGUGUAAGUGAUUUACAUAUAUAAAGAUUUAUUUUAAGGAACUGGCUCAUGCAAUUAUGGAAGCUGUCAAGUUCAAACUCUGCAGCAUGGGCUAGCAGUCUGGAAACCCAGAGAAAAGCCAAUGUUACAGUUCAAGUCUAAAGACUGUCAGGCUGGAAACUCAGGGAAAAACAGAUGUUGCUCUCAGGUUUAGAGUGUUACAAAAUUCUCUCAUGCUUGGGGAGCUCAGUCUUUUAUUCUUCAAGCCUUCCACUGAUUGAAUGAGGUCCAUGUACACUAUAGAAAGCAAUCUGCUCUACUCAAAGUCCACCAAUUUAAAUGUUAAUUUCAUCUAAAAGCACCCUCAAAGAAAUAUCCAGAAUAAUGUUCAACAACAUAUUUGGGCACCAUGGCCCAUCCAAGUUGACAUAUAAAAUUAACCAUCACACAGAUUAUAAAAUACAUUUGUUUCAGAAUUGUUUUCAGAACCAAAUUUUGUUCAAGCCACAACAUUAUAAUUGGAUACUACAGUAUGUAUCAUUUAUGAAAUUUUUGGAAAAUGGCUAACAUUUUGAAACCCUCAAGUGACAGCAAAUUAAUGGACUGCUUGAGUCCAGUGAUAGUCCCUGCAUUUUCUUAUUUUAAAAGAUAUAAUUUCCAUUGCUUGCUAAAAAUGUAGCCUUUUUGUUUUUUGGAUUUGACUUUGUGCAAUAGUUUGCUCACCAUUGAUUUAGUUGCCCCUCCCCUUCCCUUUUUUUAGGGAAGAAAACAAAAUCCUGAGAAAUAUAAGAUAUCGUAAAGAUUUUAAUGUCAAACUUUGAAAUACUCUUUUUCCUCUAAAAGCUUAUUCAAAUAAGUUGAAAAAUGAAUCAUAUUUAUUUAUUUAACCUAAAUAUUAUGAAAAACCUUUAAUUCCAUUGCUAAUACAAGAUAUGCUUUGUAUACAGAAAUUAUUCAAUGUCCAGUCCAAUGCCCACACAUUCAUUACUCAUGUUCACCUCUUUUUGGUAACAGCACUUUUUUCUCAGGUAUUUAGAAAAUGGUUAAACUUUAGGUCUUAUUUUACUUUCUUUGAUAUCUGAUUAAUUAAAGAAAAAACCUACAAUUGACAAGAUACACUUAUAGACACUCUUAAAUCUACUUAAAAUUUUGAAAUCUUAAGCUAAGCAGUAUCUACAUUUUGCUCACACAUAAUUGUCCUCAUGAUUGUGCUGCUAACAAAUAUUAGUUAUUGGAAAAUUAUUGUAAAAAUUACUUUAUGAAGCUUAUUUUCCACAAAAAUAUGCAGAUCUUUCCAUAAUUUUCACAGUGUUGGUUCUGUUUAAGUGAGCAUGAUUUAUUUAUCUAUCGUAUAUGUCAUUUAAUUUACAUAAAAAUUACUGAAGUAGUAUGUUUGUUGAAACUAUAUUCAAAUAACAGAGGAGCAUAUAAAGUAAAAAGAAGAAACAGCAAUUCCCUUUUCCCUAAAAUCAGGAAUUCAUACUGAUCUGCUUUUUCAAUGGCUGUAUAAUAUUCCAGAGUGUGAAUAUAACAUAAUCUGUCUGAUAAUUCCAUUAUUGAUUACCGAUAGUUAUUCAUGAUCCUAAAAGAUCUAUAGUGAACAUAUUUCAUGCAUGAUUGUUUGUUUCCACUGGAUUUCUACAAGAGCCUACAACUGAACCAAAGACUAUAAAAAAUUUUACAUUUUAUUAUUUAUUACCAAAUUUCUCUCAAAAAGGGCACCCCCGGUGGCACAGCAGUUUAGUGCCGCCUGCAGCCCAGGGCAUGAUCCUGGAGAUCCUGGAUCGAGUCCCACGUCAGGCUCUCUGCAUGGAGCCUGCUUCUCCCUCUGCGUGUG